rnacentral:lncRNA from 1 species
CUGAACUUUAAAUGUUCGCUUACACGGUCAAAGUUUCUGUGAUUAAAGUCAUUAAUUGUUAAUUUUGAUGACAGAAACUUUGAUAGUGAAGUAUAGUUUCGUUUUAUAUUCUUUCAAGUUUUUGACAAGUUUAUACGAUAUAAAGAAUAACAUCAUUCAACAUCAUUCAUGAAUGCGAUUUCCCCGAGAACUGUGAAUGUAUUCAUUG